UACAGCGGGAAGGCCACCUGGCGACAGGGAGCGGAACCCGAAAGCCUGUCUCAGUUCGGAUUGGAGUCUGNAACCCGACUCCAUGAAGCUGGAUUCGCUAGUAAUCGCGCAUCAGCCACGGCGCGGUGAAUACGUUCCCGGGCCUUGUACACACCGCCCGUCAAGCCAUGGAAGCCGGGGGUGCCUGAAGUGCGCUGCCGCAAGGAGCGCCCUAGGGUAAAACCGGUGACUGGGGCUAAGUCGUAACAAGGUAUC
rnacentral:rRNA from 1 species